rnacentral:lncRNA from 1 species
CUAGGGGUAGGUAAAAGAUAGAUAAAUUUAGGCUAAAAACCCUACAUAUAGCUUGAAUCGGUCCUUCGCAAUAAUUACCUUCAAUACACCAACUUAUUUUACUUUCACAUGCUCUUUUGUACAUCUAUUUUCGAGUACAUAUGCUCUCUUUUUUUUCUUUUUUUUCACUAGCAUUUUGCUGUAUGUACUACAAUUUUUUUGAGCAUUUGAUACUUCUUUUCAACUCCCCCAAACUUGUUUUAUAGAAUAUUCUGAAUAGUACUGAGUUUGGUGUUUGAGACAAUUUAAAGAUAAUUAAGAGAAAAGGGAUGGCUAAAUAUUGCAAAGGUUCA